rnacentral:lncRNA from 1 species
GAUAACUACGUCGUUAAAAGAAACUGGGAAAAUCCUAAGGGAACAUAUUUGGAUGAGAGAUUGCGUUUAGCUUAGAACACACUGAGUGUAACUGCUCAGUGGGACAGCCAGGUGGAAAUGUCCAGUGUGCUGCUGAGAUUACGGGCUUGAAGGCUGGGGACACAGGUUUGGAGACACAGAUCUGGGGAUCAUCCUCACAGAAGUGAUUACUGACGCCAUGGGAGCCAGGAAGUCAGUUGGGAAAUUUUCUCUUUACUCCUCCUAGACAGUCACAGAGAUCAUCUCUGUGGAAGGCCUUUUCUUGGGAAUUUACGGCCUUUUACAUGCAUCAGUGAAAAAGGCUUUGAUUUAAAAUGAAAAACAGCUAACCUUUACACACUGGCAUGGGAAGUGCUAUUGUCUUUCCUAGCUAUUUCAUGAGUAUGUUGCCUUUGAUAAAUGUUGGCCAAACCUACAACUCUGGGUUUAGGGAGUAUGGAAUACAGCACAAUAAGCCUAUAUUUUAGCAGCACAGAUCAAGAAUCCAAUGAAGAAUAAGGAAACAUUCAUUUUAAUACUAAAGUUAACGUUUAUUUUAAUAAACUGUUCCUUAUUUUUGUGUGGGAAACCAAUCUAGCAUGAUUCAGGUGAACUUUAACAGACAGAGAUGUCCAUCAGUAAAGGUUUCCUAUGGCUCAUGUUAGGAUUCUCUUCACAACGUGUUUGAAAGUAGAUUCAGGGAGAUAAUAUCAUUAGGACAUAACCAUACAUCUGAUUAUCCUGGUGCCUUGGAAUGAGAAGUUUUUAAUUUCUCCUAAGGUCUGUUUUGGAUUUUAAAUGUAAAGUUGGUUGGAAGCAGAAAACAAGAGUUUGAAAUGGAACAAAGGAAACAUCAAAGCUCUAUUGUUUGGUUUCUCAGAAUUACGAUGAACUGAAUUUUCCUAUUUGUUUUGCAGGUAUUUUGUGUUUGAUUGUCCCUCACUGGCCGAUAUCUGCAUUAUUCCUGAACGAUGGUGUUAAUGGGUCUUUGGACAUCAGACUUUGUUAUCAUUUCUCCCAUACAUGACCUUUACAACAGUGCACUUUAACAAGUGCCCACUCUUUUGAAGAAGAGGAAAUUUGGACACAUAAAAAGGCAGCAGGGAUGCAUGUGCACAAAGGGAAGACCCUGAGGGCACAGCCAGAGAGUGGCCAUCUGCAAGCUCCUAAGGAGAGAGGCCUCAGGAGAAACAGUACUACUGACCCCAUGAUCUUGGACUCCUGGCCUCCAGAACUAUGG